UCCGUAGGUGAACCUGCGGAAGGAUCAUUACCGAGUGAGGGCCCUCUGGGUCCAACCUCCCACCCGUGUUUAUUUUACCUUGUUGCUUCGGCGAGCCUGCCUUUUGGCUGCCGGGGGACGUCUGUCCCCGGGUCCGCGCUCGCCGAAGACACCUUAGAACUCUGUCUGAAGAUUGUAGUCUGAGAUUAAAUAUAAAUUAUUUAAAACUUUCAACAACGGAUCUCUUGGUUCCGGCAUCGAUGAGGAACGCAGCGAAAUGCGAUACGUAAUGUGAAUUGCAGAAUUCAGUGAAUCAUCGAGUCUUUGAACGCACAUUGCGCCCUCUGGUAUUCCGGAGGGCAUGCCUGUCCGAGCGUCAUUGCUGCCCUCAAGCACGGCUUGUGUGUUGGGCUCCGUCCUCCUUCCGGGGGACGGGCCCGAAAGGCAGCGGCGGCACCGCGUCCGGUCCUCAAGCGUAUGGGGCUUUGUCACCCGCUUUGUAGGACUGGCCGGCGCCUGCCGAUCAACCAAACUUUUUUCCAGGUUGACCUCGGAUCAGGUAGGGAUACCCGCUGAACUUAAGCAUAUCAAUAAGCGGAGGA
rnacentral:rRNA from 1 species